rnacentral:rRNA from 1 species
CGAAGGGGCUAGCGUUGCUCGGAAUUACUGGGCGUAAAGGGAGCGUAGGCGGAUAGUUUAGUCAGAGGUGAAAGCCCAGGGCUCAACCUUGGAAUUGCCUUUGAUACUGGCUAUCUUGAGUACGGAAGAGGUAUGUGGAACUCCGAGUGUAGAGGUGAAAUUCGUAGAUAUUCGGAAGAACACCAGUGGCGAAGGCGACAUACUGGUCCGUUACUGACGCUGAGGCUCGAAAGCGUGGGGAGCAAACAGGAUUAGAUACCCUGGUAGUCCACGCUGUAAACGAUGAGUGCUAGUUGUCGGCAGGCAUGCCUGUCGGUGACGCAGCUAACGCAUUAAGCACUCCGCCUGGGGAGUACGGUCGCAAGAUUA